UUAUCGCGCGAUCGCCUUGAGUUGAUCAUGGCUCAGAAUCACGCUGGCGGCGCGCCUAACACAUGCAAGUCGAACGAGAAAGUGGAGCAAUCCAUGAGUAAAGUGGCGUACGGGUGAGUAACACGUGGAUCAUCUACCUCUUAGUGGGGAAUAACCCUGGGAAACCGGGGAUAAUACCGCAUAAGUCCUUCGGGAGAAAGCAGCAAUGCGCUGAGAGAGGAGUCCGCGGCCGAUUAGCUAGUUGGCAGGGUAAAAGCCUACCAAGGCAUCGAUCGGUAGCCGGCCUGAGAGGGCACACGGCCACACUGGCACUGAAACACGGGCCAGACUCCUACGGGAGGCAGCAGUGGGGAAUCUUGCACAAUGGGGGAAACCCUGAUGCAGCGACGCCGCGUGAGCGAUGAAGCCCUUCGGGGUGUAAAGCUCUUUCGGCAGGGAAGAUUAUGACGGUACCUGCAGAAGCAGCUGCGGCUAACUACGUGCCAGCAGCCGCGGUAAUACGUAGGCAGCAAGCGUUGUUCGGAGUUACUGGGCGUAAAGGGUGUGUAGGCGGUUGUUUAAGUUUGGUGUGAAAUCUCCCGGCUCAACUGGGAGGGUGCGCCGAAUACUGAAUGACUUCGAGUACGGGAGAGGAAAGUGGAAUUCCUGGUGUAGCGGUGAAAUGCGUAGAUAUCAGGAGGAACACCGGUGGUGUAGACGGCUUUCUGGACCGUAACUGACGCU
rnacentral:rRNA from 1 species